AUUGAACGCUGGCGGCAUGCCUUACACAUGCAAGUCGAACGGCAGCACGGGUGCUUGCACCUGGUGGCGAGUGGCGAACGGGUGAGUAAUACAUCGGAACAUGUCCUGUAGUGGGGGAUAGCCCGGCGAAAGCCGGAUUAAUACCGCAUACGAUCUACGGAUGAAAGCGGGGGACCUUCGGGCCUCGCGCUAUAGGGUUGGCCGAUGGCUGAUUAGCUAGUUGGUGGGGUAAAGGCCUACCAAGGCGACGAUCAGUAGAUGGUCUGAGAGGACGACCAGCCGCACUGGGACUGAGACACGGCCCAGACUCCUACGGGAGGCAGCAGUGGGGAAUUUUGGACAAUGGGCGAAAGCCUGAUCCAGCAAUGCCGCGUGUGUGAAGAAGGCCUUCGGGUUGUAAAGCACUUUUGUCCGGAAAGAAAUCCUUGGCUCUAAUACAGUCGGGGGAUGACGGUACCGGAAGAAUAAGCACCGGCUAACUACGUG
rnacentral:rRNA from 1 species